rnacentral:lncRNA from 1 species
AUUUCUAAGGUAAUGUGAGAUUCUUACAUAAUAGUAUCAUGUUUGGUUUGCAAAUAUUAUCUUGAUGUGCUAGUUUUACAUUUUCAAUAGUUUCAACAUUUUGAAAUUGUAGAUACUCGUUUUUUGUUAUUAACACUUUUGUUAAUAUUAGUGUCAAGAAAUAUCACCCGUUGUAGAAUCACUCCAUGUUAAAAAAUGUUGUAGAGCUAAGCUUAAGAAGAUGGGUAGGAUUAUUAAAUUUAUUCCAUUGCUGGGAUGUCUUGGAGAACAUAGCUUGGAGGCUAAGAAAAAUGCUAGUUCUUAACCUUUCUAUGGACUACAAGUGUUUUCCCCUCCCUCUCCUUGUUGAUCAAAUUGUAUACUUGCAAUUAAGUUUGUAAGUAGCACUCUCAUUGCCAAAAUGAAUUACAUGAGUCUAACUUCCAUAAACCUAUUAUUAUAUCCACUAUCUUCAUAAGUUCUCUCCCAUUACUCACUACAAGUAACAUGAAUGUUAUUUCAUUCACACUCAUUAACCAUAAUUUAUAAUAUGUUCUUGUGAAUUAACCCACAUCUCUCCCACGUCCUACAAAAUAUGCCACUUGUUAUAUAAGCAUUCUUUGGGUAUAUUUUUGGGAGGCUAUACAUAGAAGAUCCAAAGUUUCAUUUGAGGACUUCUUUUUUGGAUCCCAUUACUCUCUACAACUUGCUUUCUAUAAUCACAACUAUCGUGAUUUUGAUGUUUAUGAAUAUUAUGAAUAUUUUGAUGUUUUAUUUCUUUCUCUCUAUUGCUAUUGGUUUUAUAAAAUACUUGACACAAAAUAAGAGUGAUACCUGUGUGGUCGGAUGAUUAAGAAAGAAGAAUCCAACCUUUCAUGCAUGUGUUUGGUCUUGGUUGGGAUUGAGAAAUUUUAAUUAUUUUCAGAAUUUUGUUUAAGAAGAAAAAGGUUAGAAAAUUUUGGAAGUAUUGUGUUGAUAAUGUGUUAUAAAAUAAAUAAUAAAUAAAGUAAAAUGGGAGAGCAAAAGAGAAUGUAUUUUUAUUCAUCAAUAGGGAUGUUUACAAUGCUUCUCCAAAGUUUAUAUUUAUAGACAUAGGAAGUAUAAAUAAACCUCUACUUGUAAUGACUAUUAGAGUUCUAAAGUACAUUAAACGACCAUUUGACGAUCGAUAUGGUAGAUUGAUACCCAUUGACGAUUUGAAGAGCAUAUCUUAGAUUCAAGUCGAACUAAUGGUCAAUGUUUAUGAAUAUUAAAUUGUAGAAAAUGAGAAUAAGAGCAUUCGAUUAGUGCAAGAGUUACAAAAAAAGAAAGACAUGCAAUAACUAUUUUACUAACCCAAUAAUUAAAAUAAAGUUUUUAAAUAAUAAAUUGAUAUUUUAUAACUUAUUGAAGUUGAAUGAGGAAAAUUUAGUAAUAUAAUGUAUAGAUUGAGCAGUAAACGAUUGUACAAAAUCAUCACAUAUGACCAGUGAACCAUCCUCGGCUGCGAUAAUUCACCCCCACCAUUUGAUUCAAAUAUUCGAUGUUCGUGAAAAGCAAAUAGAGUCC